rnacentral:rRNA from 1 species
AAUCAACGCUGGCGGCGUGCCUAACACAUGCAAGUCGAACGCGAAAGCCCCUUCGGGGGCAAGUAGAGUGGCGUCCGGGUGAGUAACACGUGGGUAAUCUACCUCCGGGUGGGGAAUAACUCGCCGAAAGGUGGGCUAAUACCGCAUAAUGCAGCGGCACCGAAUGGUGAUUAGUUGUUAAAGCGGGGGACCUUAGGGCCUCGCGUCUGGAGAGGAGCCUGCGGCAGAUUAGCUUGUUGGAGGGUAAUGGCCUACCAAGGCUGCGAUCUGUAGCUGGUCUGAGAGGACGGCCAGCCACACUGGCACUGACACACGGGCCAGACUCCUACGGGAGGCAGCAGUGGGGAAUCUUGGUCAAUGGGCGCAAGCCUGAACCAGCGACGCCGCGUGAGUGAUGAAGGCC